AAGACUAUAUUUUCAGGGAUUAUUUUUAUAGUAUAUUAUUAAAGAAGUUCCUCUGAUCAUGUAGAGCACCUGAAACCACUGGAUGAGUCAGAGCAUCCUCUCCUGAGCGUAAAGUCUGUUCUAGGUAUUGCUUUUGCAACUGCCUUUUACUGUUGAUGAUCAUUUUUCUCUUCCUUUGGAAGGGCUACUGGGAGAGAAUGCAGUCUGAGUG